rnacentral:rRNA from 1 species
CAAGUCGAACGGUGAACACGGAGCUUGCUCUGUGGGAUCAGUGGCGAACGGGUGAGUAACACGUGAGCAACCUGCCCCUGACUCUGGGAUAAGCGCUGGAAACGGCGUCUAAUACUGGAUAUGUGACGUGACCGCAUGGUCUGCGUUUGGAAAGAUUUUUCGGUUGGGGAUGGGCUCGCGGCCUAUCAGCUUGUUGGUGAGGUAAUGGCUCACCAAGGCGUCGACGGGUAGCCGGCCUGAGAGGGUGACCGGCCACACUGGGACUGAGACACGGCCCAGACUCCUACGGGAGGCAGCAGUGGGGAAUAUUGCACAAUGGGCGAAAGCCUGAUGCAGCAACGCCGCGUGAGGGAUGACGGCCUUCGGGUUGUAAACCUCUUUUAGCAGGGAAGAAGCGAAAGUGAC